UACUAAUUUGGCUAGAACUGUAAAUAAAUCC
rnacentral:piRNA from 1 species